rnacentral:rRNA from 1 species
GGGCGCAAGCCUGAUCCAGCCAUGCCGCGUGUGUGAUGAAGGCCUUAGGGUUGUAAAGCACUUUCGCCGAUGAAGAUAAUGACUGUAGUCGGAGAAGAAGCCCCGGCUAACUUCGUGCCAGCAGCCGCGGUAAUACGAAGGGGGCUAGCGUUGUUCGGAAUUACUGGGCGUAAAGCGUACGUAGGCGGAUUGUUAAGUGAGGGGUGAAAUCCCGAGGCUCAACCUCGGAACUGCCUUUCAUACUGGCAAUCUUGAGUCCGGGAGAGGUGAGUGGAACUCCUAGUGUAGAGGUGAAAUUCGUAGAUAUUAGGAAGAACACCAGUGGCGAAGGCGGCUCACUGGCCCGGAACUGACGCUGAGGUACGAAAGCGUGGGGAGCAAACAGGAUUAGAUACCCUGGUAGUCCACGCCGUAAACGAUGGAUGCUAGCCGUCGGGGAGCUUGCUCUUCGGUGGCGCAGCUAACGCAUUAAGCAUCCCGCCUGG